rnacentral:rRNA from 1 species
UGGGGGAUAUUGCACAAUGGAGGAAACUCUGAUGCAGCGACGCCGCGUGAGGGAUGAAGAUCUUCGGGUCGUAAACUCCUGUCGAAUGGGAAGGAUGUUUCGUGGAUGAAUAAGCCGCGAAAGUGACGGUACCAUUAAAGGAAGCCCCGGCUAACUCCGUGCCAGCAGCCGCGGUAAUACGGGAGGGGCAAGCGUUGUUCGGAAUUACUGGGCGUAAAGGGCUCGUAGGUGGCCAACUAAGUCAGACGUGAAAUCCCCAGGCUCAACUUGGGAACUGCGUCUGAUACUGGAUGGCUCGAAUUCGGGAGAGGGAUGCAGAAUUCCAGGUGUAGCGGUGAAAUGCGUAGAUAUCUGGAGGAAUACCGGUGGCGAAGGCGGCAUCCUGGACCGAGAUUGACACUGAUGAGCGAAAGCUAGGGGAGCAAACGGGAUUAGAUACCCCGGUAGUCCUAGCCCUAAACGAUGAAUGCUUGGUGUGACGGGUAUCGAUCCCUGUCGUGCCGAAGCUAACGCAUUAAGCAUUCCGCCUGGGGAGUACGGUCGCAAGGCUG